GUCGUCGUGGCCGAGUGGUUAAGGCGACAGACUUGAAAUCUUUUGGGCUCUGCCCGCAUAGGCUCGAAUCCUGUCGGCGACG
rfam:Ciona intestinalis ciona1860, whole genome shotgun sequence.